rnacentral:lncRNA from 1 species
CUGGGGGUCUGGCUCUCGAGAUUCGGAGAGCGGUGUCUCUUCGAUUUUUGAGAAAGUAAUCAUGUUGGGAGUCUGGCUCUCGAGAUUCGAAGGGCGGUGCCUCUUCGAUUUUGGAGCAAGCAAUCUUGUUGGGAGUGUUUUCUCGAAUGUGAGUAAAGGUUGGGCAUGUUUGCUAGUCUACCUUGCCACGAAGCACAGAGGUUGACACACAGGGACUUUCUAAUUAUCCAGCAAUGGUACUGUUCCUUUACCCUCUUCGAUUUUUGAGAAAGUAGUCUUGUUGGGAGUCUGGCCCUCGAGAUUCGGAGGACGGUGGAUUUUGGAGCAAGCAAUCUUGUUGGGAGUGUUUUCUCGAGUGUAAGUAAAGGUUGGGCAUGUUUGUCUACCUUGCCACGAAGCACAGAGGUUGACACACAGGGACUUUCCAAUUAUCCAGCAGUGGUACUGUUC